AGUCGAGCGAACAGAUAAGGAGCUUGCUCCUUUGACGUUAGCGGCGGACGGGUGAGUAACACGUGGGUAACCUACCUAUAAGACUGGGAUAACUUCGGGAAACCGGAGCUAAUACCGGAUAACAUUUGGAACCGCAUGGUUCUAAAGUGAAAGAUGGUUUUGCUAUCACUUAUAGAUGGACCCGCGCCGUAUUAGCUAGUUGGUAAGGUAACGGCUUACCAAGGCAACGAUACGUAGCCGACCUGAGAGGGUGAUCGGCCACACUGGAACUGAGACACGGUCCAGACUCCUACGGGAGGCAGCAGUAGGGAAUCUUCCGCAAUGGGCGAAAGCCUGACGGAGCAACGCCGCGUGAGUGAUGAAGGGUUUCGGCUCGUAAAACUCUGUUAUUAGGGAAGAACAAAUGUGUAAGUAACUGUGCACAUCUUGACGGUACCUAAUCAGAAAGCCACGGCUAACUACGUGCCAGCAGCCGCGGUAAUACGUAGGUGGCAAGCGUUAUCCGGAAUUAUUGGGCGUAAAGCGCGCGUAGGCGGUUUCUUAAGUCUGAUGUGAAAGCCCACGGCUCAACCGUGGAGGGUCAUUGGAAACUGGGAAACUUGAGUGCAGAAGAGGAAAGUGGAAUUCCAUGUGUAGCGGUGAAAUGCGCAGAGAUAUGGAGGAACACCAGUGGCGAAGGCGACUUUCUGGUCUGUAACUGACGCUGAUGUGCGAAAGU
rnacentral:rRNA from 1 species